CCCUUAGAUGUUCUGGGCCGCACGCGCGCUACAGUGAUGCAUUCAACGAGCCUAUCCUUGACCGACAGGUCCGGGUAAUCUUUGAAUCUGCAUCGUGACGGGGAUAGAUUAUUGCAAUUAUUAAUCUUCAACGAGGAAUGCCUAGUAGGCGCAAGUCAUCAGCUUGCGUCGAUUACGUCCCUGCCCUUUGUACACACCGCCCGUCGCUCCUACCGAUUGGGUGUGCUGGUGAAAUGUUCGGAUCGGCCGUUUGUCGCGGUUUCCGCGUCAUGUGGCUGAGAAGUUCAUUAAACCCUCCCACCUAGAGGAAGGAGAAGUCGUAACA
rnacentral:rRNA from 1 species